rnacentral:rRNA from 1 species
GACGAACGCUGGCGGCGUGGAUUAGGCAUGCAAGUCGGACGGUAGGGCUUUAUCGUAAGAUAGAGUUUGAGAGUGGCGAACGGGUGAGUAACACGUAGGAAUCUACCCUUAAGACGGGGACAACCCAGGGAAACUUGGGCUAAUACCGGAUGAGAGUGCGAGAGAUUGCAUUUUAAAAAGGAUGGCGAAAGUUGUCGCUUAGGGAUGAGCCUGCGGUCUAUUAGUUAGUUGGUGAGGUAAGAGCUCACCAAGGCGAUGAUAGAUAGGCGGCCUUAACGGGUGGUCGCCCACACUGGGAUUGAGAUACGGCCCAGACUCCUACGGGAGGCAGCAGUGGGGAAUUUGGACAAUGGGCGCAAGCCUGAUCCAGCAAUGCCGCGUGCAGGAAGAAGGCCUUCGGGUUGUAAACUGCUUUUGUACGGAGCGAAAGGUCUCCCCUAAUACGGGAGGCUGAUGACGGUACCGUAAGAAGUAAGCACCGGCUAACUACGUGCCAGCAGCCGCGGUAAUCUAGUCU